rnacentral:lncRNA from 1 species
CUGCAAAAAGGGGAGUAAGGCAGGGUGACCCCUUGUCACCAUUCCUGUUUGUGAUAGCCAUGGAUUACCUCAGUAGACUACUAAAAACAUUGAAAGAUAAUAUCACGACCCUAAAACCUGCCCAGUCAUGAUGGUGCCAAUCAUGAAACUAGGUCAGCCGACACAAAUUCCAAAUCAAACCAGUAUUUCAUAAAAAGGAAUUUUUUAAAUAUAAAUUUACUAAAAUCCCAUAACAUGCGUCUAAAUAACAAGUGCGAAAAAUAACAUAAGCCCGACAUCGGGGUGUCACAAGUCACGAGCAAUUACAAGGUCUGUCUAAGUACAAUAAAGUCUAUCAAAGUCUGGGAACAAUACUAAUAUAAUCUAGGAAAGAUAAGAGGGAGAAGAGCAGGGUUGUGAACGCCAUGCAGCUACCUUGCCGACUCCAAAUGACCCGUUGGAUGAAGAUCAAUGCUCGCUAUCAACCCGUAACUCAUGGAUCUACACACAAGGUGCAGGGAGUAAUGUGAGUACGCCAACUCAGUAAGUAAUAAAAGUAAAUAAAAAUUGAGCAGUAAGAAAUUAUAUAAUUCCACGUCAUAGCACUACAACAAAUACGGUAUGGUUCCAAAAUAGUGUAGAAAUCAAUUAUCUCAUAAAAACUCAGUUUCAGAAAAAAUACUUUGAAAAAUAUCUUUCUACAGUUUCAACUGAGAAUUUACAGAAGUGUAGAGUAAAAAUGAUGAAAAUCAUAAUCAACCCCUCGGGCAAAAACAUGUAUCAUAAAUCGCCCCUCAGGCAUAAUAUCAACAGAACCAACCCCUCGGGCUACCUCACAAUCACUCGAAAUCAGCCCAUCGGGCAUAACAUGUAUCAGAGUCAGCCCCUCGAGCAACAACAUAUCACUCACUCAGGGUACCCGCGCUCACUGGAGGUGUACAGAAUCCGGAGGGACUCCUACAACCCAAGCGCUAUCACAAUCCAUCUCAUGGAUAAAUCAGGCCCUCGACCUCUCAUAUAUCACAAAAUAGUACAACCUACUGUGGCGUGCAACCCGAUCCCAUGAUAUCCUCACAACAUAGGCCCUCGGCCUUACUCAGUCAGAAACCUCUCAAGCCACUCGGGAUAACAGUAAAAUAGGGUGCUUAGCCCAAAAAUUUCAUUUAUGUAUCAAAUCAGAGUAAAUAAGACUGAGUUAUGAAAUCAGUAAAACAUAGCAUGAUUGAGUACAAUUGUUAAAUCAAAACAAUGAGGAAUUUCAGUAAAGAAAACCCCUAAGGGUCCAAACAGAUGGCACGAGGCCCAAAUAUAGUAUUCAGCCCAAAACAUAGUAAUACCUUCUAACAUAAGAUAAUAUCAAGUAGUUUCAGUCAAAUACGCAACUUAAUAGUUGCUACGGGACGGACCAAGUCAUAAUUUCCAACUGUGAACGGCCCUCACGCUUGUCAUCUAGCGUGUGCGUCACCUCAAAAUAGUACAACGAUGUAAAAUCCGGGGUUUCAUACCCUCAGGACAACAUUUACAAUCAUUACUUACCUCAAACCGGACCGAACUCUAACCCGCAAUGCCUUUGCCUCUCUACCGGCCUCCAAAUGCUCCAAAUCUAACCAAAAUCAGUAUCACAUCAUUAAUACAUGCUAAAGGAACAAAGCCCAAGCAAAAAUGAUCAAAUUAACUCGGAAAUCCCGAAAUUGGUCAAACCCGACCCCCUGGCCCACGUCUCGGAAUCUGAUAAAAAUUACAACACUAGAAUUCUUAUCCACUCACGAGUCUAUACAUACCAAAACCAUCAAAAUCGGACCUCAAAUGGCCCCUUAAAUCCCCAAUUUAAACUCUCCAAUUUCAAGUCUUAAUUCCCUAAUUUUCACCCUUAAAUCCUACAAAUUCCAAGCUUAAUCUACUGAAAAUCAUCAUAGAAUCGGGUAUUAAGUUCAAAAAUCUUAUCUCAACAAGUUUCCCCUUGAUUCCCUCUUCAAAACCCUCCAAGAGCUUCAAUCCCAACUUCAAAAAUGGUGGAAUAGGUCAAAUUUUGUGAAGGAGAAUUUAUAUACUUUCUGCCCCAGGGAUUCCGCACCUGCAGCCCAUAUCAUGCUUCUGCGGACCGCUUCUGCUGUCAAAUCAACCGCACAUGUGGCUUUCACUUAAAGUCCCAGGACCGCAUCUGCGACCAGGCACCGCACUUGUGGUCCCGCAGAUGCUCCCAACCUACCACACCUGUGGUUCUUCUCCUGAUGGCCCAAUUCCGCAUCUGCGGUCUCCCUCACGCACCUGCGACCUCGCACUUGUGGUCCCCAAUCCGCAGGUGCGGUCAUGGCAGAAGCAACAGCUUCAACUGCUUAAAUCAAGUCCAUUCUUUUCCGUUAACCAUCUGAAAUCAUCCAAGGCCCCCGGAACCUCAACCAAACAUGAAAACAAGUCACCUAUCACCAUUCAAACUUAUUCCAAUCUUCAAAACACUCAAAACAACCUCAAAACAUCAAAUCACCCUCGGAUUUAAGCCUAAAGAUUUCCAAACUUCCGAAUUCCGCAAACGAUGCCAAAACCUAUCAAACCUCGUCCGAAUGACCUGAAAUUUUGCACGCACGUCCCAAAUGACACAAUAGACCUACUCCAAUUCUAAAAAUUUCAUUCCCGAUAUCAAGAUUUUUACUGCCGACCGAAAAAUGCCAAAUUUUCAAUUUCGCCAAUUCAAGCCUAAAUCUACCACAAGCCUCCAAAUUACAUUUCGAACACGCUCUUAAGUCCCAAAUCACCUAACGAAGCUAUCCGAACCAUAAAACCCCAAUUCCGAGAUCAUUUACCCAUAAGUCAACUUUCGAUUGACUUUUCCAACUAAAUAACCAACUUAAGAGACUAAGUGCCUCAUUCCACUCUAGGACCACUCCAAACACAACACAACCAACACGAUAUGAUGAAAUACCACUGAACAACACACAAGGAAGCAGAAAUGAAGGAAACAAGGUUGCAACAUAUGAAACAACCGGCCGGGUCGUUACAGAUAAUCUAGACUUUAACUAUCACCCUCCAUGUGAAAAGUUGAAUAUAAUACAGUUGGGGUUUGCAGAUGACCUACUGUUGUUUUAUAGGGGAGAUUUGGUAUCUACUAAACUACUGUACAAGUACUUUCAGUAAUUCUCCCUGGCAUCUGUGUUGGUAGCCAAUCAAGGGAAGAGUGCUGUCUACAUUGGAGGUGUGCCAGACCAGAUUCAGCAGUAAAUAAUACAAGAGUCAGGAUUCUCUGUGGGAUCUCUCCCCUCCAGGUACCUGGGAGUUCCACUCAGCUCAAAAAGACUAGCAAUUGGGCAAUAUCAACCAUUAAUAGAGAGGAUGAUAAGGAAAGUAACCUCCUGGACAUCAAAGUUUCUAUCCUAUGCAGGUACAUUGCAGGUGAUCAGAAGAGUACUCACAGCCAUCUAACAAUUUUGGUCUCAAAUAUUCAUCCUGCCCAAGAAGGUGAUUCAGAGGAUUGAACAAGUGUGUCGGAGAUUUCUACGAAAUGGAAAUUAUGAAUGCUCAAAGAAGGCUCUAAUAGCUUGGGACAAACUCUGCUUGCCAAAAUCAGCAGGUGGUCUCAACAUACCAGACAUCUACACAUGGAAUAAAGCUGUCAUACUUAAACACUACUGGAACCUAUGUAAGAAGAAGGAUAAGCUUUGGAUACAAUAGGUGCAUAUCUACUAUACUAAGGUUAAUGAAGUAUGGGAAACCACUGCUACACAAGAAUCUUGGCUGAUUCAGAAUAACCUAAAGGAUAAACAAUACCUGGAGAAUGCAUGACUAACUGUCAAGGAAUUUUUGAACUGUGAGACAUAUGUUAUAAAGACAAUGUACAAUAAGCCGAGAGACAAUUAUUUUAAAGUACAUUGGAGGAAGUUGAUGUGCAACAAGCAGGUCAGCCCCAAGUGAUUAUUCAUCAUAUACCUUGCAAUACAAGACAGACUAUAUACAAGGACUAGAUUGCAAAAAUGGGGUAUGGGAUAUGGAACGACCUGUCCAUUAUGUGAUAGCGUUGAUGAGGAUGUGCAACACCUGUUCUUAAUAUGCCCAGUUACAUACCAGAUUUGGCAACAGAUCCUCCAGUGGCAGGGAAUUCAACGCCAUGCUAUGGAAUGGCAGGAAGAAGUUGAGUGGGUGCAAAAACAUGCCUAUAGUAACAAUGAAAAAGCAGAGACAUACCGAACGACCCUUGCAGGAAGUGUAUACUAUACCUGAUUAGAAAGGAACAACAAAAUCUUCCAACAAAGAACCAGACCAGCAGCAACUACAGUAAGACAGAUCAUUCAAGACAUACAUUGCAGAGGAAGAAAGAGGAAGAAAUUGAAAAUCCAGUUGAAGAAACUUGACUACUACCCUAGUUAGUUUGUAGGAAGACAUAGCCUAGUUUUCAACUCUAUCUUUUUGUAUGGCUGUAGGUGAAGUAAUAAAGUUGGACCUUGGGGUUGUGGUCCAACUUUAGCGGUUUCUG